CUUCCGGGUUGACUGUCAUGGAGGUUUCAUUGCUGCAGUAAUGCAGUAAAUUCUUUUAGAAUAUUUUUUUUUUAAAGAGGCCGUUUAACAGAGCAGCAAUGAAGACUAAAGACGCGGAAAAACUGAAAGUAUUUUUUUCUGCAGUUUACGCUUUUGGCGUCUGGACCACGAUCGGAUCUUUGUUAUAUUUGAGAUACAUGGGUCGUUUCGAGGACAUAAGGGUGAAAAAAGCCGAGGAGGAGGAAGACAAUCCAUACAGGGUUGUGUACGAGACGGCUCACACCAAAACAGUCAUCGUCUACAAAAAAGACUUUGUCCCUUACACCACGAGGCUCUUCAACUUCUUCAACUCCUUCACCGGAAACAAGUAGCUGCAAAGGACGCUGUCGAGUAAAUCCGGAUGUAUUUGUGUGAUGAUGAUUUAUGAAUGAAAGUCCAGACACGUGUCCACGUGUCGUGGUCUGACGGAGCUGCUGUUGUGUUUGAAAGCGAGUGGAUUGCAGAUGAUCUAUAUUAAACCAUUAAGAAGACACGGUGAUGUUCAAAGUCUAAUCAAGUUGAAAAAUGUUUAAAUAAAUCUUAUUUUUCCAGUCGUGUCAACAGGCCUCUUUUACUGCACAGAUUUGGAUCCGUGUUGGUCAUAAGAGGCGUCACCAAAACAGCCUCACAUGAUUGUCAAGCGCUCACUAAAUUAUCUUUUUAAACAGCUGCAGAUUGCAGAAUGAAGCUUUUGGGCUAAGUAGCUUUAACAUACACCCAGCCUUUCAGUUUUAUUCCUGACUGUUUUUCUGAAGGAUUUUCCAGAGGAGUUUGUUCAUAUAUUCCUAAUAGUCUAAUUUAUAGAAUGUCUUACUGCUGAAAACAAAAAGAAAUGUGUUUUUAUUUCUGGCCUUUCUGGCUAUGAUUUACGGAGUGAUAAAAAGUGAUAAUAUAAAAAUAAACUGGAACUUAAUCUCGAUCACCGUAUUCUAAUUUAAUGAAGUUGAGCGUGUGAUUAGCCGUGAAAAUAAUAUAUUUAUAUAAAAAUACACAAAUUGUCAGUCUCCCUGAGUUACUAAUAAUCAGUAUAUCAAAUCAAAUGUUUGUGUUACAUACACUGUUGUACGUGGUUCAGUAUGUAAUAAAAUGUGUUGUGUA